GGGAGAAUGGCAGAGAGAGAGGUAGAGGUAGAGAGGUAGAGAGAGAGAGCGAGAAGUGCAGGGGGUGGUGACGGGAGAAUGGCAGAGAGAGAGAGAGGUAGAGGUAGAGAGGUAGAGAGAGAGCGAGAAGUGCAGGGGUGGUGACGGGAGAAUGGCAGAGAGAGAGAGAGAGAGGUAGAGAGAAAGAGAGAGGUGCAGGGGUGGUGACAGGAGAAUGGCAGAGAGAGAGAGAGAGAGAGGUUCAGGGGGUGGUGAUGGGGGAGAGAGAGAGAGAGGUAGAGAGAGAGAGGUAGAGAGGUAGAGACGUGCAGGGGGUGGUGACGGGAGAAUAGCAGAGAGAGAUUGAAGAAGCGCUUGUAUUGGCAUUGCCACAAAGAAGGCACGACUCCGGUCUACCUCUUCUCUGAUUGACAGAUGAGGAGGAGGAGCGAAUCCAGACAGCUCUUUCUCAACCAAUUGCAAUGAAAGGGGGUUCUGGUUGCUGCAGCAACAGCACACCUUGGCUACCUAUUGGAGGAGCUGGAAAG
ensembl:lncRNA